rnacentral:rRNA from 1 species
ACGGAGGAUCCGAGCGUUAUCCGGAUUUAUUGGGUUUAAAGGGUGCGUAGGCGGAAGAAUAAGUCAGUGGUGAAAGCUUGCAGCUCAACUGUAGAAUUGCAUUUGAAACUGUUUUUCUUGAGUGUAAAUGAGGUAGGCGGAAUGUGUUGUGUAGCGGUGAAAUUCUUAGAUAUGACGCAGAACACCGGUUGCGAAGGCAGCUUACUAGAAUACAACUGACGCUGAGGCACGAAAGCGUGGGGAGCGAACAG